GCUGGGCGUGGUGUCGCGCGCCUGUAAUCCCAGCUACUGGGGAGGCUGAGGCAGGAGAAUCGCUUGAACCUGGGAGGUGGAAGUUGCAGUGAGUGAGCCAAGAUUGUGCCACUGCACUCCAGCCUGGCAACAGAGCGAGAUUCUGUCUCAA
ensembl:misc_RNA Metazoa_SRP Metazoan signal recognition particle RNA